rnacentral:rRNA from 1 species
CAUAGGUUAAUGAGGCGAACCGGGGGAACUGAAACAUCUAAGUACCCCGAGGAAAAGAAAUCAACCGAGAUUCCCCCAGUAGCGGCGAGCGAACGGGGAGCAGCCCAGAGCCUGAAUCAGUAUGUGUGUUAGUGGAAGCGUCUGGAAAGGCGCGCGAUACAGGGUGACAGCCCCGUACACAAAAAUGCACAUGCUGUGAGCUCGAUGAGUAGGGCGGGACACGUGGUAUCCUGUCUGAAUAUGGGGGGACCAUCCUCCAAGGCUAAAUACUCCUGACUGACCGAUAGUGAACCAGUACCGUGAGGGAAAGGCGAAAAGAACCCCGGCGAGGGGAGUGAAAAAGAACCUGAAACCGUGUACGUACAAGCAGUGGGAGCACGCUUAGGCGUGUGACUGCGUACCUUUUGUAUAAUGGGUCAGCGACUUAUAUUCUGUAGCAAGGUUAACCGAAUAGGGGAGCCGAAGGGAAACCGAGUCUUAACUGGGCGUUAAGUUGCAGGGUAUAGACCCGAAACCCGGUGAUCUAGCCAUGGGCAGGUUGAAGGUUGGGUAACACUAACUGGAGGACCGAACCGACUAAUGUUGAAAAAUUAGCGGAUGACUUGUGGCUGGGGGUGAAAGGCCAAUCAAACCGGGAGAUAGCUGGUUCUCCCCGAAAGCUAUUUAGGUAGCGCCUCGUGAAUUCAUCUCCGGGGGUAGAGCACUGUUUCGGCAAGGGGGUCAUCCCGACUUACCAACCCGAUGCAAACUGCGAAUACCGGAGAAUGUUAUCACGGGAGACACACGGCGGGUGCUAACGUCCGUCGUGAAGAGGGAAACAACCCAGACCGCCAGCUAAGGUCCCAAAGUCAUGGUUAAGUGGGAAACGAUGUGGGAAGGCCCAGACAGCCAGGAUGUUGGCUUAGAAGCAGCCAUCAUUUAAAGAAAGCGUAAUAGCUCACUGGUCGAGUCGGCCUGCGCGGAAGAUGUAACGGGGCUAAACCAUGCACCGAAGCUGCGGCAGCGACGCUGAUGCGUUGUUGGGUAGGGGAGCGUUCUGUAAGCCUGCGAAGGUGUGCUGUGAGGCAUGCUGGAGGUAUCAGAAGUGCGAAUGCUGACAUAAGUAACGAUAAAGCGGGUGAAAAGCCCGCUCGCCGGAAGACCAAGGGUUCCUGUCCAACGUUAAUCGGGGCAGGGUGAGUCGACCCCUAAGGCGAGGCCGAAAGGCGUAGUCGAUGGGAAACAGGUUAAUAUUCCUGUACUUGGUGUUACUGCGAAGGGGGGACGGAGAAGGCUAUGUUGGCCGGGCGACGGUUGUCCCGGUUUAAGCGUGUAGGCUGGUUUUCCAGGCAAAUCCGGAAAAUCAAGGCUGAGGCGUGAUGACGAGGCACUGCGGUGCUGAAGCAACAAAUGCCCUGCUUCCAGGAAAAGCCUCUAAGCAUCAGGUAACAUCAAAUCGUACCCCAAACCGACACAGGUGGUCAGGUAGAGAAUACCAAGGCGCUUGAGAGAACUCGGGUGAAGGAACUAGGCAAAAUGGUGCCGUAACUUCGGGAGAAGGCACGCUGAUAUGUAGGUGAAGUCCCUCGCGGAUGGAGCUGAAAUCAGUCGAAGAUACCAGCUGGCUGCAACUGUUUAUUAAAAACACAGCACUGUGCAAACACGA